UGGGGAAUAUUGGACAAUGGGGGCAACCCUGAUCCAGCAAUGCCGCGUGUGUGAAGAAGGCCUGCGGGUUGUAAAGCACUUUCAGUAGAGAAGAAAAGCCUAAGGUUAAUAACCUUGAGUCUUGACGUAACCUACAGAAGAAGCACCGGCUAACUCCGUGCCAGCAGCCGCGGUAAUACGGAGGGUGCAAGCGUUAAUCGGAAUUACUGGGCGUAAAGCGCACGUAGGUGGUUUUGUAAGUCGGAUGUGAAAGCCCUGGGCUCAACCUGGGAAUUGCAUUCGAUACUGCUUAACUAGAGUAUGGUAGAGGGAAGUGGAAUUUCCGGUGUAGCGGUGAAAUGCGUAGAUAUCGGAAGGAACACCAGUGGCGAAGGCGACUUCCUGGGCCAAUACUGACACUGAGGUGCGAAAGCGUGGGUAGCAAACAGGAUUAGAUACCCAUGUAGUCCCUGAGCGGGCUGGCAAGGCGCAU
rnacentral:rRNA from 1 species